rnacentral:rRNA from 1 species
GUGCCAGCCGCCGCGGUAAUACAGAGGGGGCAAGCGUUGUUCGGAAUUACUGGGCGUAAAGGGCGCGUAGGCGGCCCGCUAAGUCGAACGUGAAAUCCCCGAGCUCAACUCGGGAACUGCGUCCGAUACUGGUGGGCUUGAAUCCGGGAGAGGGAUGCGGAAUUCCAGGUGUAGCGGUGAAAUGCGUAGAUAUCUGGAGGAACACCGGUGGCGAAGGCGGCAUCCUGGACCGGCAUUGACGCUGAGGCGCGAAAGCUAGGGGAGCAAACGGGAUUAGAAACCCCCGUAGUCC